GGAGGCUGGCGGAGCUCGGCUCCCGACGCGCAGCGCAGCAGCAGCUUGGGGCCGCCGAAGCAGUAGCACUGGAAGGGGCAGGGUGCCGCGGGCUGGCUCAGCGCCGCCGCCACGAGCAGCAGCCCCUGGAGCCCCGGCUGUCCCGCGCGCGGGGCCAUCGCGGCCGCCCCCGCAUCCAGCGCCCGGGCCGCCGCGCUCACCAGUGAGUUGGGAGCGCCUGGUGGGGGGCACGGGUGGGGCGAGUCCUUGACCCGGAGCGGCUGGCAGUCCCGGUCGGUCCGUUCGCUGUCUCGAAAGUCUGAGGAGCCGCACUUACUGGCUGACUGGCCGGGGGCAAGAGGGGUCAGACGGGGAGCGGAGCCCCCCGCCCCCGGUGCCCUCGCCCUGCGCGCCGGCCUCCGGCUUCCGCGGCCGCUCCGGGCUCCGAGCCGAGUGGGCAGGGUUUGCCUCCCCCCUCCCCGCCUCCCGGUCUCGUCCUCCGCCCCCAGCGGAGUCUCCGCGCCCUCCUCGCCGUGGGAGGCGGGGUGGGAGGCUCCCGAGAAUCAGGGCUGUCGGCUGCUGCGCUUUCUCUUCAUCCUCUCCGCCCCCGCCCCUCCGGGCUGCCGAGAAGUUUGGCUCCUGGAGGCUCCGACUUGGUUUUCCUCCUCCUCCACCCCCAACAUUUAAGCUGGGUCCUUCCUCCUCCUUCUCCAGCACGUGUGGGGCGGGGCCCGACUGCGGAGAGCAGGCAGAACUGGGAAGCUCUAAACCUGAUUUAAAGAGACAGGCUCCUGAGAAGGGAGGAUUCCUGGCCUUAGCAUGAAUUAUUCAGGCUGGAGAGGCUGACACUUGAUCCGCAGGCCAUUCGGGUAUCAGCAGAGCUGGUUGGAAUAGAGGCUCCCCACCUCCUCCCAAGAAUCAGUCUCUUUCUCCUGAAUUGGGUACGGUUGUUAUGUUGACUCCUUCCCUGAGGUUAUAUUUAACAGAUCGACCAAAGGAUCAAUACCACUUAAGGAGAAGAGGCAGACCCUGCAGUGGCCUGGGUCUUGGGCAAGGACCAACAUUAAGGAACAGAGCUGGUGAUGAUGGGGGUCUCCCAGCUCUCCCCUCCUCCAAGCCCCUCUCUCUUCCCUACCCCCUGUCUUAACUCUCCCAGGUAUGAGAGCUCAGAUGUGUCUCAUGCAAGUCCAUGCAGACUCAUUCAUAUGUGGACAUAGGAUCGUAGGUUUGAGUGCGUCCUGGCAUGUGUCCAUAAAUUCAUAAAGACAUACAUAUUUGAAUAUGCACACUUCUGAGCCCAUGCAGGUUCGUGGAUACAUUCUCAGAGGGCAAGCUUACAGGCCCAUGCUUAAGCCAUGCCAAGCAUAGGGACCCAGCGAUUGGCUAGCACAGUCAGACCCUACUCCUCCUGCCCUGCACCAUGCCCUUGGUCUGUGGAGGUAACAGGCUGGUGAUGUCUUUUCUCACAUGGGCACACGUGCUCAAGUAGAUGCCACUGGGGCUGGGCCCCCAGCUAUAGCCCUCCCCUAAACCCCGGCCCACACAGCAACAUGCCCCAGCUCUGACAUCUCCCCUGGUAGGAGGCACUAGGUCGUUUUCACUUUUCUGUUUCCAGUAUAGAGACUAUCUCAGGAGAGUGUGUGGUGCAAAUGACAGACUGAAUGAACAGAAGUCUCUGUUUCCUUGUCUGCUUCCAGGCCCUGAGGAAUCAGACCACUACCAAGGCUGGAACUCCUUCCCCAGGCCCCGGUGGUGGCUGGCCUCAGAUUGGCUGAUGCCCCCCUCCCCUGCUGCCCCCCAGGAAAGGAGCUGCAGGACCACAGGCAGCCUUGAUUGGGGGGGUGCUCAACACCUCAUUUGGGGAAAUGAGGCCUGGAGAGAAUUUAGAAUCAUCAGGUGCCAGAGAAUAAGGCAAAUGUCGUCUGUUUUGCACAAAUGGGGAAAUAGGCCAGAGGGGCCCCAAGGCCCCUGUCAAGUUUUCAGAGUUUAGCCUAGAAACCUGACCCCAGGGUCCUUGCCCAGGACUCUGUCCAAGAUGGUGGGCUGCAUCUGAGAGGGUCCUGCACCACAAGGAAUGCUUAUCCUGACCCCAAGAAGCUGAGGCUGGGAAUGGAUGCCAUGGUUGAUCUGGUGUGACCUCAGGCCUUUCUCAAUCUUGGGCUGUCACCUUCCUCUUCUAUAAGGUAGAUAGGCUUUAAAUUCCUGUUCUUCCUAUUCCUCUCAGGGCUGUUAUGAUAAAGUGAGUUGAAAGUGCCUCAAAACAAGAAAAAACAUUUCACCUGGGUCUGGGGGCCUAGCACCCGUCCUGCCAGACCCUGGGUAAGGCAUUGCCCCUCUCUGGGACUAAUUAGCUCCCAUGUCAUUUUUCCCUGUUCCAUGUUCUUUCCUUCUCCAACACAGCAGAUUUGUGGUGGAUGUUAAUGAGUCUCUGCUUGUCUCUCUGUAUGGCCUCUACUCAGCCUCCUCUCCUCUCUUCCCACUUUGUAAAGGUGCUUCCCGUCUAAAUUCUCCUGGAACCAAUUUCUCUCUGUCCAAGUUCCCCAAGGAAUCAAGUCUGCGAGCCAUUGGGGCUGAGGGAUCUCUGUUCUUUGGAGGAACAGCGCUCUCCAUCUUAGAUUUGCCAGUGUUCAGUAUGCAUUAAGUGUUCAAUAAAUGUGUGUCCACUUGAGUCUGAGGCUGUGUGUUUAUUCUCUGAUGCAUCUGGUGGAAGUCUCUUUUCUUGGACUGUUUGCCCCAGCUGGGGUGCUCUCCUCUUGAUUCUGUUUCUCCAGUCCAGUCAGCUGUCCCUCAGGACUUGUGAGUUUUGCCCCCUUCAGGGAGCCCUCAUGGCUUCCCUCUCCAUCCUUUGAACUUCACUGAUCAAUUAGAGGGCUAAGACUCCCCUGAUCUUCUUGACUGUCAGCAGCUAGGGCUCAGGUCUGGUCUAAUUUCUUAGGGAUCAGUACAGAGAAGGCACCAGGGAAUAUUUGCUGACUGAAAUAAUGAUUUAAAAAUCUGUGACUCGAGCCUCUCAUCCCUAUGAGGCAAGCUCGGUGAGGACCCCUCAUCUACACUUCAUACCAGGAGAUAGCUGCUCAGAAAUGUUAAGUGCUUUCCCCAAGGUUGCACACCUGACUGGGACCUGAGCCAGAUAGAAGCUCGGGUUUCUUGCCCAUCUCCUUUGCCGCAGCCCCCCCUCAUCCUAGGAUCCCUCUCUCCUGGGAGUGUGGCUGGGUCAGAUCCCAGGGGAGCCUGUGGGCAAAGAGCUCACGCCCUCAGGGUUUCCUUAGGACUCGGAAGAAGCGAGGCACCCCUCGCCACCCAAGCAGAGUGAUCAUCUGCCCUUUGCCCAGAUGAGUACCCCUCAUGUCAGCCACACUGGAUCUUCACGCUUGCUUGAAUUUAUUACUCCACUAGGUCCCAGAGCCCUUCUCUUAGUAUUCCAAGGUGUUGUCUCUACCUGAGCCUCUAGUGCCUUCGCUGGGCCUUUUCUGCUGGCACAGACCCUGCUGUUGAUCAGCUCCACUAAGCCUUGGUAGGGAGCACAGAGUGUGAUGACGUCCCUGAGAUCACCCAGCAGGUAGCCCCUUCUCCAGCUCUGUUUUGUCAUCAGAGGUGUGUCAAUAUUAUUAAAGUCCUUGGACACACCUCAGUUUCCCUGUCUGCAAAAAAGUGUGUGUGGAUGGGAUGGUCCUGGGGGGCCUAGUAGUCUUGUGCCCCUUGGCAUUUUAGGGAUGGGGGUCAGGGAGGGGAAGGUCAUACUGGGAUUUGCCCAAGUUGGUGCCCCCACCUUCUCAAUAUAUGACCUUGAACUUGGUACCACCCCAAUUAAGGCCUUGGUUGCCCGACUAGAAAGUGGUAGGGGUGGCUGGGUGUGGUGCCUCAUGCCUGUAAUCCCAGAACUUUGGGAGGCCGAGGUGGGCAGAUCACAAGGUCAGGAGAUUGAGGCCAUCCUGGCGAACAUGGUGAAACCCCGUCUCUACUAAAAAUACAAAAAAGAAUUAGCCGGGCGUGGUGGUGGGCACCUGUAGUCCCAGCUACUCAGGGGGGCUGAGGAAGAAAGUGGUAGGGGUGGUCUGGGGUCCUUCUGGAGCGGAUGCUGUAGCAUCCUGAGAUCCAGGCUCCCUUUGUCCUCUGUCCCAGCAGCCCUCCUGCUGCCUUCCCAUCCCUCUGUUCCCCCCUCCUCCAAGGCAAAUGGAGGAGCAGCAGGCGGCCUGACGUGAUGAACUCAGCCACGAGGUAGUGGGGGAGGCCCCAGCUUCUCUCCUCUUGCUUGGCUUCCUUGCCAGCAGGGACGGGAGACUUCACUGUGGGCCUUGCCAUUCCCAUUUCUCACUCCCCCUCCCCUCCCCCACUGCUGUGAGACACAGGAAAAUCCAUAGGCCCAAGAUUCAUUUUCUCCGUUGAGUCAGCAGAGGCCAGCGCUGCUUCUGAGGGGCAGGCAACUGGCUUUUAAAUAACUCUCUGAUAUUUAAUACCCUCCUCCUCCGCUCUGUGGCCUGGGCCUCUGGGGAAAGGCUAGAAUAAAUGAGCUGGAUGCGUCCUCCGAAAGUCCUAAAUGUUCUUACCCCCACCUCAGUCUUCCCCCCAACCCCCAACUCUCAGACCAUUGGAAAAGAUGACUCCUUACUACAUCUGUACCUUGCUUUACAGUUUCUAAGUGGUGGCAGGCUGGGUUUGUUGUCCCAGUUUAGAAUGGGAAAUGGACAUUUAGAAAAGGAGAGAGAUCCCACUUGACUUUUGGUCUUUGUCUGCUGUUGGCUGGCUGUGUGG
rnacentral:lncRNA from 1 species